UCGAGAAUCUUCGGCAAUGGGCGCAAGCCUGACCGAGCGACGCCGCGUGCGGGAUGAAGGCCUUCGGGUUGUAAACCGCUGUCAGUGCGGAGGAAAUGCAGUGGGGUUCUCCCCAUUGUUUGACCUAUGCGCAGAGGAAGGACGGGCUAAGUUCGUGCCAGCAGCCGCGGUAAGACGAACCGUCCAAACGUUAUUCGGAAUCACUGGGCUUAAAGGGUGCGUAGGCGGUCUGUUAAGUUGGGUGUGAAAGACCUCGGCCUAACCGAGGAAUGGCGCCCAAAACUAGCGGACUUGAGCAAGGCAGAGGUGAACGGAACUAAGGGUGGAGCGGUGAAAUGCGUUGAUAUCCUUAGGAACACCAGUAGCGAAAGCGGUUCACUGGGCCUUUUCUGACGCUGAUGCACGAAAGCCAGGGGAGCGAACG
rnacentral:rRNA from 1 species